UUUGGAAUACUGCACUUUUUAGGUAGUUCUUUCAUCUUGACAAGGAACAUUAGAAGAAUGGUUUUAAUGUAAUCUGCAGGUUUAUGGGAGAUACGUGUGCAUUGACAACUAAUAUUUUAAUGGGGUGGAUCUUAUGAAAGUUCCACCCAAGGGGCUAUCAGUUUGUUAGCCUGGUUCUUUUUGGAUUAUGGGAGAUAUGUGUGCAUUGACAACUAAUAUUUUAAUGUAAUCUGCUGGUUUAUGGCUAAUGAUGGGAAGAUGAAGCUGAAGGCAAUGCUUCUAACCCAUUCCUCUUCAGAAAUACAUUCUAGAAAACUUCAGAACUUUGGUCUGACUUCUAUUCUUGAUUAUACAAGCAAUGCCAUUCCAAAUCAGCCUAGAAAAUUUCACAGGAGAUGCAUUUUUGCACCUAGCAAGUGAACAAGUUUGCCUCGCUUGGUCUAGAACGAGUUCCCCUCGGGUCAAGAGUGCAUCGAGCAUGUCCAAAAACUAGUUAGGUACAUAAAAGGCCAUCACAUUGUGGAGCUCUUCAUCUGCUUGACGGACCUUCAUUGAAUUGUCCUUUUAUUUUGAAGUCUUCCAUUGUAGAUUUUAGUUUUUAUAGUCAGGUUUGCAAGUCAGAUAAAUAAUGUUUCAAAUUACAUCAUGGUUGUUU